UGGGGAAUUUUGGACAAUGGGCGCAAGCCUGAUCCAGCCAUGCCGCGUGCGGGAAGAAGGCCUUCGGGUUGUAAACCGCUUUUGUCAGGGAAGAAAUCUUCUGAGUUAAUACCUCGGGAGGAUGACGGUACCUGAAGAAUAAGCACCGGCUAACUACGUGCCAGCAGCCGCGGUAAUACGUAGGGUGCAAGCGUUAAUCGGAAUUACUGGGCGUAAAGCGUGCGCAGGCGGUUUUGUAAGACAGAGGUGAAAUCCCCGGGCUCAACCUGGGAACUGCCUUUGUGACUGCAAGGCUUGAGUGCGGCAGAGGGGGGUGGAAUUCCGCGUGUAGCGUGGAAUGCGUAGAUAUGCGGAGGAACACCGAUGGCGAAGGCAAUCCCCUGGGCCUGCACUGACGCUCAUGCACGAAAGCGUGGGGAGCAAACAGGAUUAGAUACCCUGGUAGUCCACGCCCUAAACGAUGUCAACUGGUUGUUGGGAAGGUUCCUUCUCAGUAACGUAGCUAACGCGUGAAGUUGACCGCCUGGGGAGUACGGCCGCAAGGUUGAAACUCAAAUGAAUUGACGGGGUCAUAGC
rnacentral:rRNA from 1 species